rnacentral:tRNA from 1 species
CUGGUGGCUGAGAGGGUAAAGUGUCUGUCUGCAAUACAGGAGACCUGGGUUCUAUCCCGAGUCAG